rnacentral:misc_RNA from 1 species
GCGGCUGGCUCCUCUCAAAUGAAUCAGCUUGCCAGUGUUUGGCGGCAUCUCACGGGUGUGAUAACUAUCUACGCUCGCGGUUGUCUGCCAGGUAACCCUCAGCGAUGAAGGUUCAUUGGGGCUCAUAAACGUCUCUCCUCGGCGAGGACAACCUUUGAAAGUUCGAUCUCAAAUCAGGUAGGAAUACCCGCUGAACUUAA